rnacentral:lncRNA from 1 species
AUGAGGCAGAAGGAGGUCAGCAAGGUGGGUCUGCCCACAGGCAGUAUGCAGCUGCGACCUGGAUACUGGAUUACCAGAAUGGAUGCCAUGGCAGUUCAGACCAGCUGCUGGGAUAUGCCACUGGCUUGUGACAGAGUUACAGUGAGACGAGAGUUUUCCUCAAAGAUCUUUGUCAAUAAGGCCGAAGUGCCAAGUAGAACUGGACAUCAUCUUUAUCUUCCAAAGACAGCCCCUUCUUCCCAUUUAUAAACCAUGGAAGCAGCAAGAAAGAAAAUGAACUGCUCUUAAGCCUCUAUAUCUUCUGUUUCAUUAUACAGCAAAACUUUACACUAUGCCAGUGAUUUCAGAGCCCCAUCGUAACCUAAAGCAGAUCAAAACACAUGCCUGUCCUUUAAUUAAGCAGAGUAGAUACCUGGUUCUAAAAAAGAAAUGAAUGGGAAAUUCUUGACCAAAUUCUGCAGAAAUACAAAGUUAAGUGAGUACAAAGAGAAACCUCUCAUGACUAAGAUAUUCACAUACAGAAAAGAGAAUGGUUAGAUACCUUGAUUAUAUUUUUUUAAAAAAACCAAAAGUUAUACAAACAGAGCAUUUUAAGCUUUGUAAAAUUUUAAACUUAUGGAAGCAAGAUAUAAAUUUUCAAAAUAUUCUUAGUUAGCAGAAGAUUAUAAAUCUUACUUUCACAACUCGUGCAGAUACAGGAUGAUAUAUUGUAACUACUGUAAUGUUACAUUGCUUUCAAAUGUUCUUGUCCUGUUAAUGAAUACUAAAGAAAUUCAGUGUGGCAUGUCAUUAUGUUAACUAGUGUUAAAUUUCUAUUAACUCUUCUGCUCUGGGAACCAAAUGAGCUAUUCCUCAUGUGAGUUUAGUCUUCCUACCCAGAAUAUCUCUUGCCUGAGACCUCUUCCUCCCUAAGAGAAAGAACAGAGACAGCUCUUACAGAGCAGUUCCUGUUCCUCACCCAAGAUGGUCAAAAUCCUCACUUGGCCACAAAUUAGAGCACUAUCAAUUAAGCCAUAUUUUUUUAUUUUAUCAUACUAUCCUAGGGAUUAACCAAAAUGGAGUGUUGGAUUAUUGUUAUAUUAAAUAUCCAGCCAAGACCUUUGUUUUAGAGAACAAGAGUACAAUAUCUGACAAUAUUCUGAAUGAACCCAGAGUAUCCUGCUCAGGUCUUUAGCAUGGAAUUUGAUCCAAUGAAGUUCAUUUUCCUCAACCCUUCCAGGUUUGUCCUUAGUACUUGUCACAUCAUUAG